GAGCGGUAACAGGUGUAGCAAUACAUGCUGACGAGCGGCGAACGGGUGAGUAAUGCUUCGGAAUCUGCCCAAUGGUGGGGAAUAACCAGCCGAAAGGUUGGCUAAUACCGCAUAAGCCCUACGGGGGAAAGCAGGGGAUCGCAAGACCUUGCGCCGAUGGAUGAGCCGAAGUCGGAUUAGCUAGUUGGUAGGGUAACGGCCUACCAAGGCGACGAUCCGUAGCUGGUCUGAGAGGACGACCAGCCACACUGGGACUGAGACACGGCCCAGACUCCUACGGGAGGCAGCAGUGGGGAAUAUUGGACAAUGGGGGAAACCCUGAUCCAGCGACGCCGCGUGUGUGAAGAAGGCCUGCGGGUUGUAAAGCACUUUUAGUGGGGAUGAAAAGCUCAGGGCUAACACCUCUGGGUCUUGACCUAACCCACAGAAAAAGCACCGGCUAACUCUGUG
rnacentral:rRNA from 1 species